GACGAACGCUGGCGGCGUGCUUAACACAUGCAAGUCGAACGGAAAGGCCCCUUUGGGGGUACUCGGGUGGCGAACGGGUGAGUAACACGUGAGUAACCUGCACUUGACUUCGGGAUAACUUCAGGAAACUGGGGCCAAUACCGGAUAGGAAUCCUUGCUGCAUGGUGGGGGUUGGAAAGCUUCGGCGGUUUUGGAUGGAAUCGCGGCUUAUCAGCUUGUUGGUGGGGUAGUGGCUUACCAAGGCUUUGACGGGUAGCCGGCCUGAGUGGGCGACCGGCCACAUUGGGACUGAGAUACGGCCCAGACUCCUACGGGAGGCAGCAGUGGGGAAGAUUGCACAAUGGGCGGAAGCCGGAUGCAGCAACGCCGCGGGCGGGAUGACGGUCUUCGGGUUGUAAACCGCUUUCAGCAGGGGCGAAGCUUGUGGUGACGGUACCUGCAGAAGAAGCACCGGCUAACUACGUG
rnacentral:rRNA from 1 species